rnacentral:rRNA from 1 species
GACGAACGCUGGCGGCGUGCUUAACACAUGCAAGUCGAACGGAAAGGCCCUGCUUUUGUGGGGUGCUCGAGUGGCGAACGGGUGAGUAACACGGGAGUAACCUGCCCUUGACUUUGGGAUAACUUCAGGAAACUGGGGCUAAUACCGGAUAGGAGGUCCUGCUGCAUGGUGGGGGUUGGAAAGUUUCGGCGGUUGGGGAUGGACUCGCGGCUUAUCAGCUUGUUGGUGGGGUAGUGGCUUACCAAGGCUUUGACGGGUAGCCGGCCUGAGAGGGUGACCGGCCACAUUGGGACUGAGAUACGGCCCAGACUCCUACGGGAGGCAGCAGUGGGGAAUAUUGCACAAUGGGCGGAAGCCUGAUGCAGCAACGCCGCGUGCGGGAUGACGGCCUUCGGGUUGUAAACCGCUUUCGCCUGUGACGAAGCGUGAGUGACGGUAAUGGGUAAAGAAGCACCGGCUAACUACGUG